rnacentral:rRNA from 1 species
UUCGGUACAUCGGUGACAGUGGUGCAUGGUUGUCGUCAGCUCGUGUCGUGAGAUGUUGGGUUAAGUCCCGCAACGAGCGCAACCCCCUAUUGUUAGUUGCCAUCAUUCAGUUGGGCACUCUAGCGAGACUGCCGGUAAUAAACCGGAGGAAGGUGGGGAUGACGUCAAAUCAUCAUGCCCCUUAUGACCUGGGCUACACACGUGCUACAAUGGUUGGUACAACGAGUUGCGAGUCGGUGACGGCGAGCUAAUCUCUUAAAGCCAAUCUCAGUUCGGAUUGUAGGCUGCAACUCGCCUACAUGAAGUCGGAAUCGCUAGUAAUCGCGGAUCAGCACGCCGCGGUGAAUACGUUCCCGGGCCUU